AAGUGCCAUCACAGUGGGUGACCCAAUCCCACAGGAUGGACAACAGAAUGUUGGGAGGUGACACCUUCCCGGGUCAGCCUCCUGCUCAAUUCAAGUUCAACCAGCGAAGGAAGCAGAGCAGAUAUUGCAACUCAUGCUUUUCUAACUCCAGGGUCCAAAUUAUUAGCCACUAUGCUCAAACAAGGAAGCACAUUCUCAGGUCGCCAGCCCAUUUUCAUUUUAUGGAGCCUAAGCCCACGGCUCUCCUUCCACGUGCCUCCCUCCAACUUAGUAAAGUCUUCAGCUUCUCUGAUAGGUUAAAGCGUUGAAUGCCUCCUGCAAAAUUUAGAUGGCCCAAGUUUUUGUUGAGAAAGACCAUGCCUCGCAAGAGCUGUGGGGCCUGACUGAGCCCACAAAGCCAGAGAGUCUGCAGAAGUUGUUUUCCUGUCUAACAGUGCUGAGCUUUAUGGCUUCCCGCAGGGUGGUGGGGAAACAUUAUGCUAAGAGCAUCUCUGAGUUCUCCAGGAGACUCUUCCUGCCUCUUUAAUUUGAUAUUUGCAUUUCCUUAUCUAGGAAAUGAAAAUAAUUAUAUCUAUGCCUCUAACAUUUUAGGGGCGUGUGUGUGUGCAUGCACCAAAUGAGGUAAGGUGUGUAAAGCAUUUUGUAAAAUGGAAAAUGUUAUUGCAUGUAAAUUAUUAUUAUUAUGACUUAACUUGAUUUAGAAU
rnacentral:lncRNA from 1 species